CUACGGGCUGCUCCAGUGGGGAAUAUUGGACAAUGGGCGAAAGCCUGAUCCAGCAAUGCCGCGUGUGUGAUGAAGGCCUUCGGGUUGUAAAGCACUGUCGGGAGGAAAGAAGGUCGGGUAACCGGCUUGACGGUACCUCCAAAGGAAGCACCGGCUAACUCUGUGCCAGCAGCCGCGGUAAUACAGAGGGUGCAAGCGUUGUUCGGAAUCACUGGGCGUAAAGCGCGUGUAGGCGGCGUUGUCAGUCGGAUGUGAAAGCCCUCGGCUCAACCGAGGAAGUGCAUCCGAUACUACAAUGCUUGAGUUCCGGAGGGGGUGGCGGAAUUCCCGGUGUAGAGGUGAAAUUCGUAGAUAUCGGGAGGAACACCUGUGGCGAAGGCGGCCACCUGGACGGCGACUGACGCUGAGACGCGAAAGCGUGGGGAGCAAACAGGAUUAGAUACCCGUGUAGUC
rnacentral:rRNA from 1 species